rnacentral:rRNA from 1 species
GCUUGCUCUUCUUGGAUGAGUUGCGAACGGGUGAGAACGCGUAGUAACCUGCCUUGUAGCGGGGGAUAACUAUUGGAAACGAUAGCUAAUACCGCAUAACAAUGGAUGACACAUGUCAUUUAUUUGAAAGGGGCAAUUGCUCCACUACAAGAUGGACCUGCGUUGUAUUAGCUAGUAGGUGAGGUAACGGCUCACCUAGGCGACGAUACAUAGCCGACCUGAGAGGGUGAUCGGCCACACUGGGACUGAGACACGGCCCAGACUCCUACGGGAGGCAGCAGUAGGGAAUCUUCGGCAAUGGGGGCAACCCUGACCGAGCAACGCCGCGUGAGUGAAGAAGGUUUUCGGAUCGUAAAGCUCUGUUGUAAGUCAAGAACGAGUGUGAGAGUGGAAAGUUCACACUGUGACGGUAGCUUACCAGAAAGGGACGGCUAACUACGUGCCAGCAGCCGCGGUAAUACGUAGGUCCCGAGCGUUGUCCGGAUUUAUUGGGCGUAAAGCGAGCGCAGGCGGUUUGAUAAGUCUGAAGUUAAAGGCUGUGGCUCAACCAUAGUUCGCUUUGGAAACUGUCAAACUUGAGUGCAGAAGGGGAGAGUGGAAUUCCAUGUGUAGCGGUGAAAUGCGUAGAUAUAUGGAGGAACACCGGUGGCG